AAGUCGUAACAAGGUUUCCGUAGGUGAACCUGCGGAAGGAUCAUUAACACAAUUUUCUGUGAUAAAUCCGUUGAAUUCUCGAAUUCAAUGGUAUCCACCCCAUUAUUGACGAACUUUUCUAGAUGUUAAAACAUAGAGCUAGUCUUUAUGUUUUUAACAUUCUAAACCUUUUUCUAUAUCCACACAAAUUUAAACCCCUUUUACAACAUGUAUUAGACUGAAAUGAAAAUUUUCUAUCAAAAAAAUGAUAAAAACAACUUUUAACAACGGAUAUCUUGGCUCUC
rnacentral:misc_RNA from 1 species